CAACCACUGGACAAAGCGAUUGGGCUGCGAUUCUUGAAAAGGAAUCAGGACCAGGAAAGUCCCCGGGCCACUAUCUGCAGAGAUGUAGACCUGGAAACAGGUAAACUCUGCUGUGUUGGAGAGUCCCUAUCGUGCGAUGAGGCUGAGACAUGUGUGGGAGCCAUAUGGGCUUCAACCCAGAUUAUCUUGGCGGAUUUGUACAGUUAUUCGCUUGGUGUUUUGGACUAACUGAACGGGGCUUAUGCUUCAGUGGUG
rnacentral:RNase_MRP_RNA from 1 species